rnacentral:rRNA from 1 species
GAAAGCCUGACGUAGCGAUACCGCGUGAACGAAGAAGCCUUUUGGGGUGUAAAGUUCUGUCGGCUGGGAAGAAAAAAAUGACGGUACCAGCAAAGGAAGCAUCGGCUAACUACGUGCCAGCAGCCGCGGUAAGACGUAGGAUGCAAGCAUUGUCCGGAUUUAUUGGGCGUAAAGAGUUCGUAGGCGGUUUGUUAAGUCUAAUGUUAAAGAUCAGGGCUCAGCCCUGGGACUGCAUUGGAUACUGGCAGACUGGAGUGUGGUAGAGGUAAGUGGAAUUUCUGGUGUAGCGGUGAAAUGCGUAGAUAUCAGAAAGAACACCAGUGGCGUAGGCGACUUACUGGGCCAUAACUGACGCUGAGGAACGAAAGCCAG